GUCUCCAGCCAUACCAGCCUGAAGGCGCCAGAUCCCAUCUGAUUUUGGAGACUAUGUAGGGUUGGCUUUGGGUGUGACUUCAAUGGGAGACUGCCCAAGUGAUGAGAAUGUCACUGAAGUUU
rnacentral:rRNA from 1 species